GCUUUGCGGCUGGAUCCCCUCCUUUCUAAGGAUAAUCGAUCGACAGCGCUGCGCUCUGCGCAUCCGCUUCCUUCGAUUGCUUGGAACAUAUAGGCUGGCUUUGAUCUCAUCAUUGACCGGUCAAAAAUGGCGGACCGCCGCCGUCUUCGUUUCUCUUUCCAGAUCCGCUCGCAUCACUGGCACCGGUCAGUGAUACGUGCAGCCCGGCCCUUAUCGCGUCAGCGGCAAGGGUUCGACGCGCGGGUUCGGGCCUGUAGCUCAGUUGGUUAGAGCGCACGCCUGAUAAGCGUGAGGUCGGUAGUUCGAAUCUACCCAGGCCCACCAUUCGCGUUUCGGCACUUAAGGGGCCAUAGCUCAGCUGGGAGAGCACCUGCUUUGCAAGCAGGGGGUCGUCGGUUCGAUCCCGACUGGCUCCACCAGCCGAUUUCGCGGCGCACGAAGCGGAUCACGAGAACAAGUUUCAGCUCUCGUCGCGGAAGCGAUGAGGUCUGAUGAAGUUUGACAUUGUUAAGGAGGAUGCCCCCGCCUGAAGGGGGUAUCGUAGAGACAUCCUGACCGACGGUUCAUGUAGGUUGUCUUGCCAGGUCUGUAGCGUUGCACGCGCUACACGAUGGGCGAGGCAUUCACCGUACAUGAGCGUCGUUGAGAUCAAGCGUCAGUAGGGCGUUUGGUGGAUGCCUUGGCGGCAAGAGGCGAUGAAGGACGUGGCACGCUGCGUUAAGUCUCGGGGAGUUGCGAGCAGACUUUGAUCCGAGAAUAUCCGAAUGGGGAAACCCGGAAGC
rnacentral:misc_RNA from 1 species